AACGAACGCUGGCGGCAGGCUUAACACAUGCAAGUCGAACGCCCCGCAAGGGGAGUGGCAGACGGGUGAGUAACGCGUGGGAACGUGCCCUUCGCUUCGGAAUAGCCCCGGGAAACUGGGAGUAAUACCGAAUACGCCGUAUUGGGAAAGAUUUAUCGGCGAAGGAUCGGCCCGCGUUAGAUUAGCUAGUUGGCGGUGUAAUGGACCACCAAGGCUACGAUCUAUAGCUGGUCUGAGAGGAUGAUCAGCCACACUGGGACUGAGACACGGCCCAGAAUCCUACGGGAGGCAGCAGUGGGGAAUCUUGGACAAUGGGCGCAAGCCUGAUCCAGCCAUGCCGCGUGAGUGAAGAAGGCCUUAGGGUUGUAAAACUCUUUCGCCGGAGAAGAUAAUGACGGUAUCCGGAGAAGAAGCCCCGGCUAACUUCGUGCCAGCAGCCGCCGUAAAAC
rnacentral:rRNA from 1 species